rnacentral:rRNA from 1 species
UACGUAGGUGGCGAGCGUUGUCCGGAUUAUUGGGCGUAAAGCGCGCGCAGGCGGUGCGGUAAGUCCGUCGUGAAAUCUCCCGGCUCAACUGGGAGGGUGCGGUGGAGACUGCCGGACUGGAGGCACUCAGAGGCCGGUGGAAUUCCCGGUGUAGUGGUGAAAUGCGUAGAGAUCGGGAGGAACACCAGUGGCGAAGGCGGCCGGCUGGGGGUGACCUGACGCUGAGGCGCGAAAGCGUGGGUAGCAAACAGG